GUUUAUAUAGCUUAAAAAAUAAAGAGUAUAGUAGUGAAGUUACUAAUGUAAUAUAAAAUAUUUGUAAACA
rnacentral:tRNA from 1 species